rnacentral:rRNA from 1 species
UACGGGAGGCAGCAGUGGGGAAUAUUGGACAAUGGGCGCAAGCCUGAUCCAGCCAUGCCGCGUGUGUGAAGAAGGCCUUCGGGUUGUAAAGCACUUUUGUCCGAAAGAAAGCUUAGGGUUAAUAACCUUGAGUCAUGACGGUACCGGAAGAAUAAGCACCGGCUAACUUCGUGCCAGCAGCCGCGGUAAUACGAAGGGUGCAAGCGUUACUCGGAAUUACUGGGCGUAAAGCGUGCGUAGGUGGUUUGUUAAGUCUGAUGUGAAAGCCCUGGGCUCAACCUGGGAAUGGCAUUGGAAACUGGCUUACUAGAGUGCGGUAGAGGGGUGUGGAAUUCCCGGUGUAGCAGUGAAAUGCGUAGAUAUCGGGGAGGAACAUCUGUGGCGAAGGCGACACCCUGGACCAGCACUGACACUGAGGGCACGAAAGCGUGGGGAGC